rnacentral:rRNA from 1 species
CGGAACGGGUGAGUAACGCGUGAGGAACCUGCCUCAAAGAGGGGGACAACAGUUGGAAACGACUGCUAAUACCGCAUAAGCCCACGGCUCGGCAUCGAGCAGAGGGAAAGGAGCAAUCCGCUUUGAGAUGGCCUCGCGUCCGAUUAGCUAGUUGGUGAGGUAACGGCCCACCAAGGCGACGAUCGGUAGCCGGACUGGGAGGUUGAACGGCCACAUUGGGACUGAGACACGGCCCAG